ACUCCCUGAGAAAUCAGUCCUUUGCAUUAGAACAAGGAGUUUAAAUGGAGAUAAAAGCAUAGGACAGAUUCUUACCUAGUGUAAACUGUUAUAUUUAGGCUAUUUUAGGAUGGCUCCAUUUGUUUAAAUGGCUGUCCCCCUUCAUACUGCUGUGAAUCUCAGUUUUUAAUGCUGAUGAAAUACGUGACCCGAGCAGC